AACGAACGCUGGCGGCAGGCUUAACACAUGCAAGUCGAACGCCCCGCAAGGGGAGUGGCAGACGGGUGAGUAACACGUGGGAACGUGCCCUAAGGUUUGGAAUAUUCCCGGGAAACUGGGAGCAAUACCAAAUGUGUCCGUAAGGAGAAAGAUUUAUCGCCUUAGGAUCGGCCCGCGUCAGAUUAGGUAGUUGGUGGGGUAAUGGCCUACCAAGCCGACGAUCUGUAGCUGGUCUGAGAGGACGACCAGCCACACUGGGACUGAGACACGGCCCAGACUCCUACGGGAGGCAGCAGUGGGGAAUCUUGGACAAUGGGCGCAAGCCUGAUCCAGCCGUGCCGCGUGGAUGAUGAAGGCCCUAGGGUUGUAAAAUCCUUUCGUUGGGGACGAUAAUGACGGUACCCAAAGAAGAAGCUCCGGCUAACUUCGUGCCAGCCGCCGCAGUAACAC
rnacentral:rRNA from 1 species